GCGUCGGUACCUAAGCGGUCAAAAGGGACUGGCUGUAAACCAGUUGACUCCGGUCUUCGUUGGUUCGAAUCCAACCCGGCGCACCA
rnacentral:tRNA from 1 species